AAUCAACGCUGGCGGCGUGCCUAACACAUGCAAGUCGAACGCGAAAGCCCGCAAGGGUAAGUAGAGUGGCGCACGGGUGAGUAACACGUGGACAACCUGCCUUCGAGUGGGGAAUAACCUUCCGAAAAGGGGGGCGUAAUACCGCAUAAAACCUACGGAACACAAGUUCUGGGUUGGAAAAGAGCAAUUUGCUCGAAGAGGGGUCCGGCGCCUGAUUAGCUAGUUGGUGAGGUAACGGCUCACCAAGGCUCGAUCAGUAGCCGUCCUGAGAGGGAGCACGGCCACACUGGAACUGAGACACGGUCCAGACUCCUAC
rnacentral:rRNA from 1 species